AAGACCUUGCGCUUUUGGAGCGGCCGAUGCCUGAUUAGCUUGUUGGUAAGGUAAAAGCUUACCAAGGCUUCGAUCAGUAGCUGGUCUGAGAGGACGACCAGCCACACUGGGACUGAGACACGGCCCAGACUCCUACGGGAGGCAGCAGUGGGGAAUUUUGGACAAUGGGGGCAACCCUGAUCCAGCCAUGCCGCGUGAGUGAAGAAGGCCUUCGGGUUGUAAAGCUCUUUCAGCCGGAACGAAACGGUUACGGUUAAUACCCGUGACUACUGACGGUACCGGAAGAAGAAGCACCGGCUAACUACGUGCCAGCAGCCGCGGUAAUACGUAGGGUGCAAGCGUUAAUCGGAAUUACUGGGCGUAAAGCGUGCGCAGGUGGUUUUGUAAGUCAGAUGUGAAAUCCUCGGGCUUAACCUGGGAACU
rnacentral:rRNA from 1 species